rnacentral:lncRNA from 1 species
GGAGGCGGGAUUCUUAGGGGAGAGCUCCUCAGCAAUUGGUUACAUUUGACGGCUUUAGUCCAGGGACCCAGACGCUACUGGAUAAGGCCAGCCCGGAGUGGGCGGGGAAAGGGGAGGAGGGCUAGAAGGGGUGAAAUUUGAGGUCAUAUCCCGGGAGAGAGGAAGAAGGGUCGUGAGUCACCGAACCCGAAGGAGAGGAAAAGAUGUGGAGGCAGCGGUCUAUGGCCUCUUCCAGCUCCGGACGGGGGAUGGGGACGCUCUGGGCAAUACGGGCCUCAGUUAUUGUCCCACUGUCCUUUCAACCCUUAACCAACCCAGUUGGAGGCCGCCUGGAAGAAUGUAGCCUUGGAACUAGGGCCUGGAAUUGGGGCUCCUACCGGUUGUGUGGGCUUGGGUUGUGACAAGGAACAGUGGGCUGGCUCAAGUUUUAUGGAGCGUAACCAAAUAACAUCCUUUGAAGGCUGAUCAGCACCGGACCAGAAAUCAUUGCAUGAGCUCUAUCUGUCAGAGACCCCUGAAACCCAUUCCCCAUUCUGAAGGUGUAGACAUCACAGAGUGUGGACAGAAAUAGCUUCUCA